GGGUCAUAAAAGCUGAGGGCGACCCUCACCAUUUGUGGGGAAUACAUUCUCAUAUCCCCUGUGAAUGGCAAAAUUCACAAAUAAGGCACUGCAUUCAUGAACGCAGUGCCCCUGGUGGCUGGGGUAGGGAGUGGGGCAUAGCUGUGCUGGUGGCGGUGAGAGUACGGUGGCAGGAAGCGCAGAGCUCCUGAGGGGCUCCUGCAAGUGUAUUUAAGAUGCAGGUUCGGCAUCCACGAAUAUUUUAAACCAUGAAUGCCAAACCCAUGAAUAGCAAGAGUUUCCUGUAUUUGUUUCACAGAUCUGUAAAAGGAUUCCUCG